AUUCCUGUACAAGGACAUCUUCCUGUAAAUCUUCUUCAUUUAUAAAUUAGAUACACCAUGUAUUCAAGCAUGGCAUCAGUUAAGCUGUAAUGCACUGAGGACUUUGCUGGCCCAGUUCUGAUACAAGUAUCCCAACAGGAGAGCAGGGGGAAGCAGACAGCCAGACAUCGAUCCGGGCUGCAGGAUGUGUUUAGUGAAAAAUCUAUAGAGCUCAGCUUAGGGUGUCAGCUGUCAGUCUGCAGAGCAUCUGUCAGAGGAGUAUUUGCUUCACUGCUGCUGAAUAAUCCACUAUGCCAAUAUGUGACUAUGAUGUUGACUGGAAAGAUGGACAGCACCUCAAAGGUCAAGAGCUGUAGGCUGAAUUCCAGAUAAUGAUUUCUCAAGGAUAAUUUGUGGAAA